UACGUAGGCAGCGAGCGUUGUUCGGAGUUACUGGGCGUAAAGGGUUCGUAGGCGGUGCGGCAAGUUGGGAGUGAAAUCUCUGGGCUCAACCCAGAGACGGCUUCCAAAACUGCUGUGCUUGAGUGUGAGAGAGGCUCGUGGAAUUGCAGGUGUAGCGGUGAAAUGCGUAGAUAUCUGCAGGAACACCCGUGGCGAAAGCGGCGAGCUGGAUCACUACUGACGCUGAAGAACGAAAGCUAGGGGAGCAAACAGG
rnacentral:rRNA from 1 species